rnacentral:rRNA from 1 species
UACGAAGGGGGCUAGCGUUGCUCGGAAUCACUGGGCGUAAAGCGCACGUAGGCGGUUUGCUAAGUCAGGGGUGAAAUCCUGGAGCUCAACUCCAGAACUGCCUUUGAUACUGGCGAUCUUGAGUCCGGGAGAGGUGAGUGGAACUGCGAGUGUAGAGGUGAAAUUCGUAGAUAUUCGCAAGAACACCAGUGGCGAAGGCGGCUCACUGGCCCGGUACUGACGCUGAGGCACGAAAGCGUGGGGAGCAAACAGG